UCUGGCCAGCCCCUAAGCUGGAAAUGCAAGCUCCUGGUGUUCCAGUUACAGUUCUCCUGUCACAUCCACCUUGUGACUAUGGUCCUGGAGCCUGUUUUCCUGCUAUGAAGGAAGAAAGUCCUUGUGUAAGGCUGUGUGUAUGCUCCUGGUUUUCCUCAGCAUGGCAACAGUCAAGUGUCAACCAGUUGGUGCCCGUUGGUAAAACGAUCAGUUCUGAAAGUCAAGAGAUACAGGUCGUCCUCCCAGCUCCAUGGUGGUUGGAUUCCAUGAUGUGGACGUGUAACUUCAGCUCCAGAUGCCACGUUGUGUGCUGGGAUGUGCACAGAAAGGGUGAUCAGGCACUGGAGUGGACUGUCCAAGGAGCUGGUGGAGUUGCUGUCUCUGCAGGCAUGCUGGAAAAGGAAAAUGAUCCAUUCCAUAAUUCUAGGCUUAUCUGUGAUCCAGCUCUGAGCACCCUGAAAAUUUGCCCCAGCUUCCUGAAACAUCUGUAGUAGAGCAAGCAUGCAUCACAGCUGUUCUGUGGUGUUUAAAGGACAGAGGCACCUGAACUAUUGCUCCCCUGCCAUCAGUUUCCGAUGAAUGAAAACCAUCUUGAAGACACAAUGUUGCUGAUCACCAAAAACAGGGCAGGAUUGUUGCUUGUUUCCUAUUCUCUAACAGGGGAGCACCAAAAAUAGAAGCAGCUGCAUCUUUCAAUUGGGUGAGAUUUGAAUAAUGUUGCUGUGAUUUAAAUAAAAUGGGAAAGCUGGGUGCAGUGGGGGGCUUGAUCGGACAAGUGCAAAUGAGACCACAUUUCAGCAUCCUUUGGCAGAUGUGAUUCCAAUUUCUCUGACCCUCUGCUCAAGAAUAUUUGAAUCUGCAGUUUAUUCUUAUGAAGGCAGUGACACUGACACAAAGGAUCUCAGCAGGCUGCUUGGAGAAUGUCUCACAGCUGAUGCUGGCAAUGGACAGAUGCAGCAGACCAGUGACUGCCAGAUGAUCUCAAUGAGAUUUUAAACCAAAAACAGAAGAGGGCUGUUUUUCUUUCUUAUUUCCCCUACCUUUGGAUGAUUUUACUGGUUUUAAUGAGUUUUGGACUCUGGAAAAUUCUACCAGUUUCAGUAAGUUUUCUUCAAGUUUCUUACUACCAGCCAUUCAGAAACACCCGUCAGCUGUACUUUUUGAGAAUUAUAUGUAUCUCUUGCAAUAUAGCAGAGACUAUCCCCAAAUUCAGUUCCUUCUGUGAUGCUGUCUCCCAUUGUUCUUGCCUGUGAGAAUGAACCUGCAGGUGUUCCUUAGCACAGGUGUUGAACCAGUGCACAGCAAAGCUGGUAAUUAGGAGGAUUCUUUGAAACAGCCAACAGAAAGCAAUUUCUGCAUGUGAAAAGGAUGAAUGAAACCAUCACAGUAAUUUAGGUCUGGCAGUACCUCUACACAUAUGAGGUCCUGAUGUAGGACGGAGCUGAGGCCGAUGCAGGAUCACCAUUGGUGCUGUGCUUCAAAUGAAGCAACUGUGGUCCUGCAGGGAUGCAGGCUGCGGUCCUGUUGCGGUGCUGGAAUGCAUUUGUUCCCCCAUUUCUGCUCAGCACUGGCUGGAAGGUUUUGGAGGAUGUCUCUGUCUCUGCUACCAGCCCAUGAUGUUCUCAGGUAUUGCACCUCUGCUACACCCACCCUCCCCUCCCUCUGAGUGGGUCCCAGGGCUUCCUGGGGGGCCGGCCCUUUGCUCUUGCAUCCUUCACAUCCUCGAGCUCAUUUGUCACGUUCCCCCAUUUACCCAUCUCACUGUGAUGCAUAUUUACUAAUUCUAACAUUUCCUCGUUAGUCAUUCCCUCCAGGCCCAUUAGUCACUACAAAUUCCCAAACGAAAGGCCGCGGUGCAUCGUUCCUUCCAACAGACAGCUGACACGUAGUAAUUAGGCAGCUGAACAUAAAAAUAAUGAGGCUGAGGCUCCUGCAGAUCUCCGUCCCCCCUCUUGGCACCUGGGAAGCUUCACACACAGCCCCAGCAGCCACCACUGCACAAGCUGCUCCCUGCACAGACGUGCCUCUUUCUCUCUUUCUCUCUCAAAACUUGCUAUCUGAUCCAUUGAAGGGCUGCUCAAGCAUUUAGUUUCAUGACUUCUGGCAAUGUUUUCCAACCAAGGCACUGAAUUAUGGAGCCUCCCUUUCUCGGUAUCACGCAGGGACUGGUCCAGCUCCUCCCUACCUCCAGGGCAUCCUUGUGCCAAGAUGCCCUGCCAGUUUGCUGCAGACUCUCUAACUCAGAGCUCACUCUUGGAGAUGAUGCAUUUUUUCACAAUAGAUUUACACACCAAAAUAAACAGAAUGAUUCAGAAUGGUUAGACUGUCGUAUGCAAUGCAAAGUGUUAUGAGACCAAAAGGCUGUUUGUGUCCAUCCCAAUUAUCCUGUUUUCUUGUAUUCAUCCUCU